rnacentral:rRNA from 1 species
AACUUUUACAAUGCUGGAAGCAGCGAUAAGGGGACCUCGAGUGCCAGGUUACAAAUCUGGCUGUCGUGAUGCCUAAAAAGCAUUGCAUAGCAAGGCCGGGCAAGACCGGUGCCAGCCGCCGCGGUAAUACCGGCGGCUCGAGUGGUGGCCACUAUUACUGGGCUUAAAGCGUUCGUAGCUGGUCUGUUAAGUCUCUGGGGAAAUCUACUGGCUUAACCAAUAGGCGUCUCAGGGAUACUGGCAGACUAGGGACCGGGAGAGGUGAGAGGUACCUUGGGGGUAGGGGUGAAAUCUUGUGAUCCUCGAGGGACCACCAGUGGCGAAGGCGUCUCACCAGAACGGGUCCGACGGUAAGGGACGAAAGCUAGGGGCACGAACCGGAUUAGAUACCCGGGUAG